AUGGCUCAGAUUGAACGCUAGCGGGAUGCCUUACACAUGCAAGUCGAACGGCAGCACGGACUUCGGUCUGGUGGCGAGUGGCGAACGGGUGAGUAAUGUAUCGGAACGUGCCUAGUAGCGGGGGAUAACUACGCGAAAGCGUAGCUAAUACCGCAUACGCCCUACGGGGGAAAGCAGGGGAUCGCAAGACCUUGCACUAUUAGAGCGGCCGAUAUCGGAUUAGCUAGUUGGUGGGGUAACGGCUCACCAAGGCGACGAUCCGUAGCUGGUUUGAGAGGACGACCAGCCACACUGGGACUGAGACACGGCCCAGACUCCUACGGGAGGCAGCAGUGGGGAAUUUUGGACAAUGGGGGAAACCCUGAUCCAGCCAUCCCGCGUGUGCGAUGAAGGCCUUCGGGUUGUAAAGCACUUUUGGCAGGAAAGAAACGUCAUGGGUUAAUACCCCGUGAAACUGACGGUACCUGCAGAAUAAGCACCGGCUAACUACGUGCCAGCAGCCGCGGUAAUACGUAGGGUGCAAGCGUUAAUCGGAAUUACUGGGCGUAAAGCGUGCGCAGGCGGUUCGGAAAGAAAGAUGUGAAAUCCCAGAGCUUAACUUUGGAACUGCAUUUUUAACUACCGAGCUAGAGUGUGUCAGAGGGAGGUGGAAUUCCGCGUGUAGCAGUGAAAUGCGUAGAUAUGCGGAGGAACACCGAUGGCGAAGGCAGCCUCCUGGGAU
rnacentral:rRNA from 1 species